AGAUCUCAGAGCGAGUGACGUCACCGAUUGAAACGUUAUUUAGCGCGAACACCGCUAACUAGCUAGCCAUUUCACAUCCGUUACAUCAGCAUCUGUCCAGCAAAAUGACCCAGGAUCUGCCCAGCAAAAUCACCCACUAAUUGGCCUUCAGCAUGAUAUAUCAACUGGCCAGCAACAGGAAACAUAAUUCAGCCCGAAUCUGGCCAUCUGGGCUUUUAGACUUCCAGAAUUUCCAGACGUAUUAAAAGAAAAACCUGAAAGAAAAUGUGACGAUCUCCGUUGCCCUGCGGUUCUCUCGAAGUGGAGGUCUCAGAUUGGGCAGGUGUUGUUUGCCUUCAUGUGUACCUAUACUUGGAGUCAUGGCACGGCAUGAUAAAGAAUAAAUACAAGUACAGGAAAUGCAGAAGAAGUUUAGGGGGCAAGGGAAAAAAUAAACCCAGAUGACAUCAAAGAUGAAGACCUGACCAAAAUAGCCAAGAUUGAGAUUGGUGAGGAUUCCUUCAGUCAAGAGUUACAUGUUGAACAGAUGCAGGUGGACUGCCAAGAAAAGAGACCGAACAUAAGUUCCCUACAAGACAAAACGAAAAGGACUGAAAAAUAACGUUUUUAUGAAACAAGGCACCAAGGAUAUCUUAAAACAGUGCCCAGCACUCCAUUUGUCAGCCAUUGCCUGAAGGUCACUGCAGCCAUUUUGCUCCUCCCCUACCUCUUCAAAGACGAUCCAAGUGGGCUGUACGUGACAGGUGAGGGGAAUACCUUUACGGAUGAGAGCCACAUUCAACUCUUCCUGGAUGGGGAGGAGCUACUCACUGAAGAGCUGGAGGACAUCUCCAUGGGAUUGGGAGUGGCAAUGGGGGGUCCAUUUCCUUUUUAAUAUUGAGUAUGCAGCAUCAUUAAAAAGCACUACGCUGUUCAUUCAGAAAUGUGUUCUGGGAAUUGACGAGGGAGAUAAAUUACCAACAAAUGUAGGAAUGGCAAACUUUUUGCUGUAGAGAUGGAUAAGGGAGACCAGAGAUUUCUGGGACGUCUGCAAGUGAGAUUUCUGGGACUUUUAAAGUCAAUAAAAUGAAUUUGUGACUUUACAAGUUCACCACUCAAUGUUAUUUGUAUUAUUAUUCUUAAUAGUAUUAUUAUUGUUAUUGUUCAUAAUGGAAUACAUGGGACAUAAAAGUUUCCUACAGGAACCUUAACGCCCUAAAAGGUUAUUUGAGGAACCUUUUUAAAAGAUUCCUCAGGGAAAAGGUUCCUGAAAGCAAAGAGAGUUCCAAACCUCUCUGCCAAUGGGCGAAUUCGAUUAUAGACCAGACACCGGUCUGUGACCUGUACAUGUUGUCAAGAAGGCAGCAUGUUGCAUCAUCCAGAAACGCACAUCUCCUUUCUACAAAAUACAUGUUCGAUU